CGGCGAGUGAAGCGGGAAGAGCUCAAAUUUGAAAGCUGGCACCUUCGGUGUCCGCGUUGUAAUCUCGAGAAGUGUUUUCCGUGCUGGACCAUGUACAAGUUCCUUGGAAUAGGACGUCAUAGAGGGUGAAAAUCCCGUACUUGACAUGGACGCCCAGUGCUUUGUGAUACACUCUCCACGAGUCGAGUUGUUUGGGAAUGCAGCUCAAAAUGGGUGGUAAAUUCCAUCUAAAGCUAAAUAUUGGGGAGAGACCGAUAGCGAACAAGUACCGUGAGGGAAAGAUGAAAAGCACUUUGGAAAGAGAGUUAAACAGUACGUGAAAUUGUCGAAAGGGAAGCGCUUGAAGUUAGACAUGCUUGUCGGGAUUCAGCCUUGCUUUUGCUUGGUGUAUUUCCCGGUGUGCAGGCCAGCAUCAGUUUUGUUUGCCGGAUAAGGGUGAGAGGAAUGUGGCCCCUUGGGGUGUUAUAGCCUCUCACUGGAUACGGCGGAUGGGACUGAGGACCGCAGUGUGCCUUUAUGGCGGGCCUUCGGGCACCUUCACACUUAGGAUGCUGGCGUAAUGGCUUUAAGCGACCCGUC
rnacentral:rRNA from 1 species